UAAGCAAAUAGUGAAAUCAUCCGGCUCAACCGGGUGCCUAUUAUUUGAACUGGCUCACUAGAGUACGAGAGAGGAAGUUGGAAUUCCUGGUGUAGGAGUGAAAUCCGUAGAUAUCAGGAGGAACACCAAUGGCGAAGGCAGACUUCUGGCUCGUUACUGACACUGAGGCUCGAAAGCGUGGGGAGCGAACGGGAUUAGAUACCCCGGUAGUCCACGCCGUAAACGAUGGAUGCCA
rnacentral:rRNA from 1 species